GGUUUUUAUUUGUAUUGGUGUAGACGGUAGAGUAUUACCGUAUAUACGACUCUUCCUCAAAUCCAUUUGGAAUUUUUACUUCAUCAUUUACCAUGGACGGAGGCCCUUCUUCCUCAGCCAUCGGCGCAAGUCGUGUACUCUGCCUCCGUCGCCAUAAAAUAAACACCGCUCCUUAAUGACAUUGGGGAUGAGAACUUUGUUUGAUCCAAUGGCAUGUGACAGAGUGAGUCACGUAGCACGUAGCAUGUGACUUGAGUUAUCACCGUUGCCUCCAUGAGCCAAAAGGAUUUGCAAGGUUGAUGACAGUGAGAUAUGCAUACUUAGCUUGUCAUUUUUGCUUGAAUUUCUCUAUUAAUUAUUCUAUCCAAACAAAUAAUUUUAAGGAUGAGGAAAUUUAAUUAUUUUCUGUAUAAAAAAAAUUUAGAAAUUAAGGGAAUUCAAUUGAUGCAUAAUAAAAAAUUCUUAGAAUUUUAAAUUCUUUGAAAUUCUCAAUUUCCUCAUCCAAACACAAUAAGCUUAGGGAGACCUUUUAUGUUUUUACCAAAAAUGUUAGCAUUGCCAGCGUAUUGCCUAUCA